rnacentral:ncRNA from 1 species
AACUUCACAAAGGAGUGCCUAGGCUGAGAUCGCAUCUGCGAAAUCCUAAGAACCUGAUCUCGUUAGUACGAGCGGAGGAAUUGUGACCAUUUCAUAG